GACGAACGCUGGCGGCGUGGAUUAGGCAUGCAAGUCGAACGGUAUCAUCCUUUCGGGGGUGAGAGAGUGGCGAACUGGUGAGUAACACGUAGGUUAUCUACCCUCAAGACGGGGACAACCCAGGGAAACUUGGGCUAAUACCGGAUGUGAGCAACUUUUAGUUGUUUGAAAGGUGGCGUAAGCUGUCGCUUGGGGAUGAGCCUGCGUCCUAUUAGUUAGUUGGUGAGGUAACGGCUCACCUAGGCAAUGAUAGGUAGGCGGCCUUAACGGGUGGUCGCCCACACUGGGAUUGAGAUACGGCCCAGACUCCUACGGGAGGCAGCAGUCGAGAAUAGUCUACAAUGGUCGGAAGACUGAUAGUGCGACGCCGCGUGAACGAUGAAUCCCUUCGGGGUGUAAAGUUCUUUUAUAUGUGAGCAGUGCUUCUUAUAUUAACAGUAUGGGGAGAGGAGAUAUUAGCAUAUGAAUAAGCAACGGCUAACUCCGUGCCAGCAGCCGCGGUAAA
rnacentral:rRNA from 1 species